UUGCAAUGGCUUCUUUAUUUCUUCAUGUCCAAGAAAAUAAGAUUGUCUAGAUUCGAUGAGAGCAAAUCUCAUCAAUUUAUUUCAACACUGGAUCAUAAUACAAAUAUUUAUUUAGUCUAAUAUGGUACGAUAUGUGGCUCUUUCCGAAUACAAAUUGAGAGACUCAUAUGCAUACGGAUACACGAUAUCUACAUAAAUGCAGAUUCUAUAUGGGUAUAGCUGGUUAAAAAUGGAUCGGCGAAUAGUUUUAAAUAUAAAGUCAAUUUAUCUAACUAAUUACUCCUAAUAGUUCCCGUCAAAAUAGUGCUAGUUGAUGAGAGUUACUUGGGGGUCAAGAAAAGUCAAGUCAAAUUCAUUUGGGUUAUUUUCUCAAUUCCAAUCGAAUACAACCUUAGUAUAGUAAGUAUAGUAUGAACUGGCGAUCAGAGCAUAUCUGGAUAGAACUUAUAACGGGG
rnacentral:misc_RNA from 1 species